UUGAACUUGCUUUCAUUUGGAGAAGAAGCAGAUGAGGAGGAGAAGGAAUUGGCUAAUGUCAAGACCCGGAUGAUGUAUUAGAUGAUCCAUGUCUUCUGAAAGAGGAGAAUCAUACUGAUGAUGUGAUUUUGCAAGAGUUUUUCUUCACCUACAUGCUGUCAGUUUUGGAGGGACAAACUUUAUGAAUGUUGAAUCACAUGCGCUUGUUGAGGGGAACAACGAAUAUGAUUUAUUUUCUCCUGAUCAGUAAUAAAUAAAUUGCUUGGACAUACACUUAAAUGAAGUUGCUAAUGCAGAUAGCAUCUGAAGUUAAAGCUACAAGGGAUAAGCAGUUGACAGUCAGAGAGGAUCUGCGUUCAAAAAGGGAAGAAUCAGAGGGACAAUCAGAUGCCAAGUUGCCUGAAGCUUCUGAUUUUAGUGGAUGAAGAUGAGGCAAACUUUGAUGCAAGGAUGCGUCAGCAGAUACUGCAAAAAAGAGUGGAGCUUGGUGUUCUUCCAACUGAACAAAAGACGGAUAAGUAUGUUUUACAUGAUUAUGGAUUGGCUCAAGCAGUAAUCCUUCCUGCUGCCCAGUGAAAGCAGUCCGACAUAACAAGAAUUUUUUCGAUGCUGACCUGCAGUUGAUGAACAAUGCUGAACGUGAAAGACAGCUACAGAAGCAAAAGAAGCGCAGACGCCAAGGACGCGAGGAUGAAGUAUGCAUUUGACAUUCAUAUUGAUCAUUUUAUUGUGUAUAAUCCCAGCAUUAGAAAAGGGAAACAAAACAAGAAAGAAAAACAUAAGAGGAGAGGUCCAACGCUUUUUACAUAAUAUUUUCCCAAGGUGUAUAAUCCUCUGUUAAAUUCAUUGACCGAGGUCAGAGCACAAAACUUUUUUGUUUCAAAUGAUGUGGUUGUGUUCUCUGGAAGGAGGGCUGCAGCUGUAUUGGAUCUGGAAAUUUUUGCAAUGACUUGAUGGAGAAAACGGAUGAAAAGUGCUGAAGAGACUGGAAAAAUUCAAGGCAGCAUUUUCUUCCAAAUCCAAUGGAUUGAAAGAUGAAGAUACAGGCGGUAAGGACGGUGUGCCAGAUUGGAUGGGGGUUUAGCUUAAGUUUGCUCCUGACCCUGUCAAGGUAAUCUUCACUUCUUUAUGCACCUUGCACUGUCAGCUUGAGUGUGGAUUGAGAUCAAAUUGCAGCUGGCAUUCUCAUUGUUGAGUUUUGCUGCUAUUGAGCAUGCACAGCCAGCAUGGAUACGUAAUGCAAACCUUGUUUAUUUCAUGCCUGUCAGUUUCAACGCCACAUAUGUUGAAAUUCAAGUUGCCCUGAGGAUGUAGUCAUUAAAGCUAAAUAGAUACAAAUUGAGUUCCACAAUGACAUUCAACUGAUUUUGUUGGAUGGGGAAAAUGAAUGCUGAACAACCUUAAAAGUCAAAUUAGAAUAAGGGAAGCAGACCAUAAAUGAGUGAGUAGUUAUGGCAUUUAGAGUUUCUAUAGAUUGAAGAGAAAUUGGCUUUGGCAUUUAAUUUUGAGAGCAAACUUUAGAGAAUUAAUCCCCUUACAGUUUUUUUUCAAUGAUUUUGAUAUAGUCGGUUGGCUGUUAUGGAACCCAGGCGAUUUAUUGUGAAGCGUACUGUCUGUAAGGAAGUUGUGUGGUCCUGAGAUUGCAUUUCUUUAGCAGAUAGUGGAGCACACCUUUCAUCUUGAGAGUCUGCUCAUUCUUCUUAAGUUCUUCUCCUCCCCCAUUGAAAUUUUAUUGAAUGUAGUUCUAUUGGGUAGUGGAUAUAUGUUACUUUCUCAAAUUUGGAUGUGAACUUUAUUGAAUGUAGUUCUAUUGGGUAUUCAAGAAUGGUUACGAUCAUAUUUUUUGUGUUGUUUCUGGAUUUUGAGAUAUGAAGAUAUUUUUGAGAGAUGUGUGAUGAAGUUGUGUUUUUGAAGACAAGCACUUCUUGGGAUAUAUAAAACAUCUUGUCAUUGGAGUGAACUAUAUUAAAUGAUAAAGU